GGGCCCGUAGCUCAGGCAGGCAGAGCAUCGGGCUUUUAACCCGAGGGUCGUGGGUCCGAAUCCCACCGGGCCCG
rnacentral:tRNA from 1 species